rnacentral:rRNA from 1 species
GAUGAACGCUGGCGGCGUGCUUAACACAUGCAAGUCGAACGGUGAAGCAGAGCUUGCUCUGUGGAUCAGUUGCGAACGGGUGAGUAACACGUGAGCAACCUGCCCCUGACUCUGGGAUAAGCGCUGGAAACGGCGUCUAAUACUGGAUAUGAGCUGCGACCGCAUGGUCAGCAGUUGGAAAGAUUUUUCGGUCUGGGAUGGGCUCACGGCCUAUCAGCUUGUUGGUGAGGUAAUGGCUCACCAAGGCGUCGACGGGUAGCCGGCCUGAGAGGGUGACCGGCCACACUGGGACUGAGACACGGCCCAGACUCCUACGGGAGGCAGCAGUGGGGAAUAUUGCACAAUGGGCGAAAGCCUGAUGCAGCAACGCCGCGUGAGGGAUGACGGCCUUCGGGUUGUAAACCUCUUUUAGCAGGGAAGAAGCGAAAGUGACGGUACCUGCAGAAAAAGCGCCGGCUAACUACGUG